CUUCUGUCUGUGGUACAAACGUUAUUAUACGUCAGUGGUACAACACGGAAGAAGGUAUUCGCUUCAAUAAUUUGACUCUUCUGCUUGUUCACUUCGAAUAACUACAUGUCUAUUCUUCCUCAAGAAGAAUUGGUCAAGAAAUGGGAAAGUGAACAGGCCAGCCUCAGGCAGCAGGUGGUGGAGGAGGACACAGAGGAUUGGCAGAGAUGUCCCGACUUCACCGGGCUGGAGAGGGUUGGAGGAGUGGACCUGUCGUUUAUCAAAGGAGAUGACGUCAACGCCUGUGCCCAGCUAGUGGUGCUUAGCUACCCAGACCUAGAGCUGCUGUAUGAGGACAGUCAGAUGGUGACCCUGACCGCCCCCUACAUCUCAGGGUUCCUGGCCUUCAGGGAGACCCCCUAUCUGCUGGAGGCCCUGCAGCGCCUGGAGACGACCCAGCCCAGCCUGCUUCCUCAGGUGGUCUUGGUGGAUGGGAAUGGUCUGUUUCACUACAGAGAGUUUGGUCUGGCGUGUCACCUGGGAGUUCUGUCAGGGCUUCCCUGUAUAGGUGUGGCCAAGAACCUCCUGCAGGUGCAGGGUGUGGAGAAGAACGAGGAACACCAGUCACAGAUUGCCUCAUUGCAGAAGGGAGGAGAGAGCUUCCCUCUGACUAGCGACUCAGGAAAAGUUCUGGGGAAGGCCCUGCGUAGUUCUGACAGCAGUACCAAACCAGUGUAUGUUUCAGUGGGCCACAAGAUCAGCCUGGACACGGACCUGCGCCCCACACACUCCUGCUACCGUGUCCCAGAGCCUAUCAGACAGGCGGACAUGCGCUCCAGAGAGUACCUCCGUGUCCACUUCCCAACUGCUGCAGACACCUGAGCAUAGAGGAGAUUGGGAGGUGUUUCAGCAGACACACACACAGAGGUAUGAAAUUGACUGAGGAGGAUGAUCCUCCCCCUCCUCCUCAGUGAGGAGCCACUGGUGUGAGGUGAGAGCUCCUCGGAUGGAGCGAGGGAGGGAGAGGGGGAAGGACGGAAGGCUAAGGCAGCCUUAGAUCCAGAGAUCAUCCUCCCAAACAACAGUCAGUGCCCCAUCAUCCCCUCCUUUUAUGCUGGGAAGUGGACACAUCAUGAAAUGCAAAACACAACAGUGAUGCCUGACAAGAAGAUACCCGAAGAGCCUUCAACGUGCCUGUUAGUGUGUGAAUGUGUUUUUGUGUGUGAGAGAGUGAGUGGGUGCAUGAGAGAGAUUUACAUGAGAUUUACAGUGUUUUUAUGCCAUUCUCUUUAUAUCUACAGUAUAGGUCUAUGGGUAUUUUUAAGAUUAGAAGAAUAUAUUUAUAUACUGUACUCAUGUUUUGGGUUCUUUUUACACAGAAAUGCUUUUUAUCCUGUAAAUAAAUCCCAACUGAGCCCUGAA